rnacentral:rRNA from 1 species
GAUGAACGCUAGCUACAGGCUUAACACAUGCAAGUCGAGGGGCAGCAUGGUCUUAGCUUGCUAAGGCCGAUGGCGACCGCCGCACGGGUGAGUAACACGUAUCCAACCUGCCGUCUACUCUUGGACAGCCUUCUGAAAGGAAGAUUAAUACAAGAUGGCAUCAUGAGUCCGCAUGUUCACAUGAUUAAAGGUAUUCCGGUAGACGAUGGGGAUGCGUUCCAUUAGAUAGUAGGCGGGGUAACGGCCCACCUAGUCUUCGAUGGAUAGGGGUUCUGAGAGGAAGGUCCCCCACAUUGGAACUGAGACACGGUCCAAACUCCUACGGGAGGCAGCAGUGAGGAAUAUUGGUCAAUGGGCGAGAGCCUGAACCAGCCAAGUAGCGUGAAGGAUGACUGCCCUAUGGGUUGUAAACUUCUUUUAUAAAGGAAUAAAGUCGGGUAUGGAUACCCGUUUGCAUGUACUUUAUGAAUAAGGAUCGGCUAACUCCGUG